AUGGAAGAACUUCCAACAACUUCCUGCAUAAGCGCUUCUCUAAAACGCGAUUUUUUCAGAUGCGAUUCUCACGGAAGGUAUUCACCGCGAAAGUGCUUUUUCCCAAACGCGAUUUUGCAGUCAGAUAGCUUCUUCGUAAACCCAAACUUUAUUCGUAACCUCACUACAUCGAUUCAGUCGCAUUUUGGUUUUGGUUCAGAACUUCUUCAUUUCAGAAUGUUUAUGGUUUAA